ensembl:lincRNA
CUGAUUUCCAAGCCUCCCACCCCAGGUCGGACCCGGUGUCUGCACGGGAAAUAGUCCUCGACGUCCCACCAGUGGCCGGACCCCUUCUCCAGCUCCUCUGGCCUUGCUGGCAGGUUGUACACCUUCCCUUCCCGGCCUGACCGGCAACUCAAGUGACGUUUCUCCGAGCAUCAGGGGAGUCGCAUGUCCCGCACUGUUCCAAAGUUCUCGUUAAGCCACUCGGCUUUCAGGAAAGACCUGCACGAAUCCCUGUUUUCGCGGACCGCAAGAAAUCAGAAGAGGGUUUCUGCUUUGCCGCAAAACGGUGAAAGUUGGACUCCCAGGAGAGGACCAGAUUGGCCAAGUGGCCUCCAUCCAGCACCAGCUGUUCCAGAUGGGCAGAUCUUUACGCCGGGCCACCCACGCGGGCUGUCCGUACAUCAAGUACCCACUCAUGGGCUACCCAAUUUGCUAGUGGAUCUCAUGGCUUGGCAAGCUGUGUCUUGAACCCACUGGCUGGGGACACCUGCAGGAGGGAGGGACCGCGACAUCCCGAGGAUUCCCGGAAGGAGGAAACACAAUCAGCCAGCGCCUAACUUGGCUUUUCCCUGUGCAGAAAGCUUCCAACAAGCCAGAAAUGAAUCUGAGUUACAACUGCUGAUGCCCCCAAGGAUUUCAAAUGGAAUGGGACAAAGGAAAGCAGGAUUUGUAUUUAAAAAAAAAAAAAAAAGAAAAGACGAAUCUGGCAAAAACAUAAUGAGAACGGACUGGAGAGGGAAGGACCUGGAAACUGGAAGAAUCGUGAGGAUCUUAUAAUGGGUCCUCAUGCCUCCAGGCACCGGGAAGUGGGUGGUGAUGACGGGGACAGGGACAACGGGGCAGCUCCCAGAGACAGGUGGAAGGAGGCAUUGAUGGAACUUAGAGUGGAGUAGCCAAGGACGGACAGGGAGAAGGACCACCCAAGGGCAACAUAGGGGCUCUGAACCUUGUGGUGGAGAAAACAAACCUCACUAAGAGAAACAGUAAGUAGAAAGGGAACAGAUAUGAGGGGAGCGCCUGCAGAUAUAUGAACUUAUACCCGGUGAUACACACCAAGAACCCCCCCCAACUCUUGCUACGCAGGAAACAGUGUGGUCCUAGCACUGAGUCACCUUGUUGUGUAGACAGCUUCGUAAUGUUCUGUUCUACUCAGGAGUCUGGGAACUCCAAACACACAACUCCCGCUUUCUAGAUUUUGCCCAGUUUUCUUAGGGUCCUCCAAGGCCAGGUCUGGGUCCCCAGUAAUGAGGCGCCAACCACGCUUCUUUGAUGUCCUCCACUCACCCCUGUCCAAGUGAUUUUUUAAAUGAUGUUUAAAUCAUUAAAAGCGUAGCUCUCAUACAAAUACAUACCGAGCACAUGCUGAAGAGAUCUUUUACACACUAAUGAGGAAACCAGCAGGAUGGUAAAACUGGUUCAAAGAGCAUUUGUGGAACAGACAUGUAUAUGUUCUCUCAGGAAAAAGAAUGUCGAAAUAAGUUGGCUAAGUUAGACACAAAGCAAGUUAACGGCCUAUAAGGCGAUACAGCUGUAACCUGUUAGGCUGCCUUCUCAACCGGACAGAACUGUUUGCAUCUGUACCACACAAAAAGUCGUUUGCCCCUUGGCAAUUGUCUACAGGGUAACUUCUGACUUCACGCAGCUUCAGCCUUGGUCAGCAGUUCAUAGUAGGUCAAACUUGGUAUUUCCUCUAGAGACGUGGAUGGUUCUUCACGGGCCUUUUCACGUUCCAGUUUGGCCUGACUGGUCCUACCGUCAUCCUCUUGCUUUAUUUCCAAGUUUCGAAUAAUUCUUGACGCUCACCUUCCAUUUUUAAGACGGAAUAUCUUAGCUCAAGCAUCAUUUCCUCCCAUAUGCCUUCCUUGACUUGCCUGAUAAGGUCAGACCCCCCUUCAUUUGCUUCCAGAGCUCAGAGUAGUUCACCGUCACAGCAGUUAGGGGAAAGAAAAAAUUAUUCUGACCCUUGUUACAAUGGUAAUAAGACUUACUUGGGACUAUUGCAAUAGGUGUCAAGACAAUCACGAUAAGGAAUAAAAUCUUUAAAAAAAGAAAAAGGAGGGAGGCACCUGGGUGGCUCAGUGGGUUAAAGCCUCUGCCUUCAGCUCAGGUCAUGAUCCCAGCGUCCUGGGAUUGAGCCUACGUUGUGUUCUCUGCUCAAUGGGGAGCCUGCUUCCCUUCCUCUCUCUGCCUGCUUGUGAUCUCUGUCUGUCAAAUAAAUAAAUAAAAUCUUAAAAAAAAAAAAAAAAAAAGACAAUCACAAUAGGGAAGAGGGUUGGGGCCCAACGCCCCAAACCAGGACAAGUGGGCGUUCACAGCCAAUGAGCUGAGUGAGGGGGCAGGGGAUGGAAAGUUACUAAGAGGACACAUGGUGGGGGGAGGGGGAUUCUUGCUAAACCGACUUAGGAGAUUCAAGCUGAAGGCAAACCAGGGAGAGCAGAUCUCGGGGUAGGGUGGGGUAGUCUCCCUGAACUAAUUCAGCAGGAUUCUUGCUAAGACUGGACAAUGCAGGACCAGCCAGGACAGAGUGGGGGCCAGGUCGAAGCCUUGUCACGGAGAGGGCUCAGAGAGCCUGGCUAAAAUUGGGUCAAGGAGAGAGUUUUACCACUCCUCUCACUUUUAUGUGCAGCCACAUCAUUCACAUCUGCCUCCUCUUCUAGACCAUAAGCUCCCUGAGGACAAGGCCAUCGCCAGCUUCUGCUUACCAUCCCGCCCCAGCACCUCCACUGGACUUGAAGCAUAGAAGGGGCUCAAUAACUAUUUCCUGAAUGAAUGAAUGAAUGAAUGAGUGAAUGAAUGCCCAGGAGAUUCAGCAGGAGGAAUGCCCUGGAAGGCAGGGAACAGUUGUCCACAGACUGCUGCUAAUGCCCUUCCUGGCGGUCAUGGUUUCCCUUCUUUGUUUCUAUUUGCUUAGUUGCACCUUUUCUCAUUUGACUGCCUGGCUGGGAAUUCAGCUCUAGGGGGACUCGGAGCAAAGUCAAAGUCUUUGCUCCUGCAGCUUGCUGAUGCUGACUCAACCAGCGCUGCCUGCUGAGGCCUAAACACACUGAUCAAAGACUGGGAAGCAGCUAACCUUAGUCUGUGGUGCAGAUGGUUUGUACAGCCUGCCCUCAGCCUCUCGUUCCUUCCCCAUUUUCCAGGAGCUUUGGGAUCCCCUGCCAGCCUUACACUGGGGGCAGGGGGGAUUUCUGAGGCCCCAGUGGCUACCCCACUGCUCCAUUAUUUAGUUUGAUUAGAAAAGGGAGGGUGAAGGAAGGUUUGCUGAGCACCAAGGAUUGGGAAAGGGAUUUUUUUUUUUUUUUCAGGAAAAAGCUUUUUUAAGAGCAAAACACUGGGAGUAGGAUUUGGGUAUCGUGUCUUGCUCCCCUUCCCCCCCGACCUCCCAAGUAAUAUGUCAGUACGGUUUUUGAGGCCCUCCCAUUUCCACUUUACCUGUUUCUAGUCAAUUCCAAGCCCAUGCCGCCUAUCUGAUCUCCCCGGCCCUCCUCUCUUCCUCGUGUUUGUUCCUUCCCAUAUGGCAACUCCUGAAAGCUGCAGGGCUCAGAUCUCUUCUCCAGUCUGAGCAUUUGAUCGCUGAUACCUCAUUUCUAACUGGCCUGGAAGCUCAUGAGUGUCUGUGUGCAACCCAGCUCUCUUCCCAGAACACCCGGCUGGCAUCUUGUGGAAGGCAGCCUCUAGAGUGACCCUGGUGAUCCCCGCUGCCUGGUACUCACAACUCCUGUUGAGUGGAGGCUGAAUCUGGUGACUUCUAGCAAAUAGGAGACCCCCAAAUUGAUGGGAUGUUCUUGAUCCCAUCAACAAGAUGAGGCUUCCAUCCUGCUGACCUUUUCUUCCUCUCUCACCUGCCCACCGUGACAGAGGCCAGCUGUGGUGCUGUGAGCUACGUUAUGGAGGACCACGUGGCCAGGAACUGGGAGCGGCUUCCAGCCAGCAGUGAGUGAGGAUCUGAAGCCCUCAGUCCAGUAGCUGCCAAGAACAGGAUCCUCCCAACAGCUACCUGAGUGAGUUUGGGAUCGCGUCCUCCCCAGUAGAAACUUCAGAUGAAAACACAGCUUCUGGGGCACCUGAGUGGCUCAGUGGGUUAAGCCUCUGCCUUCGGUUCGGGUCAUGAUCUCAGGGUCCUGGGAUCGAGCCCCACAUNN